UACGUAGGGUGCAAGCGUUAAUCGGAAUUACUGGGCGUAAAGCGUGCGCAGGCGGUGAUGUAAGACAGAUGUGAAAUCCCCGGGCUCAACCUGGGAACUGCAUUUGUGACUGCAUCGCUGGAGUGCGGCAGAGGGGGAUGGAAUUCCGCGUGUAGCAGUGAAAUGCGUAGAUAUGCGGAGGAACACCGAUGGCGAAGGCAUCCCCUGGGCCUGCACUGACGCUCAUGCACGAAAGCGUGGGUAGCAAACAGG
rnacentral:rRNA from 1 species